UUCCGCAACAGUCAUAUUUCUCGCUCUUCAUCUUGUAGAUUUUUAGUUCAUGCAUUGCUUGAACUUUCAUCUCAAUAGAAAUUCAUGUAUUCUUGUUCUUUCCCCUUAUUAGUGAGAUGAGCGAGGAGGAGGUGGUUUAGAGUAAUGCACAUGUCCACUAUUGAAUGCUAAGCUCUAAUAUAAUUCAAAGGAUUUGGGUAACAAUAUGCUAGCUAUUACCGUUCUUGGCUCCAUUGGUGAAUGGACAGUUUUGUUGACAUUAUCUAUCGAAUGGACAAUAACCUUGAAUGUGGUUUGUCAGCAAAGUGUAAGUGAAGAAAAGAAAUGAAGUUUUAUCACCGCCGGAGAAGGGCUUCCCUCGUCUCUUUCUGAGCUAAGGUUAUAUUACCAUGAUGAGCUCCAUCUACUACCAACAGUCGGUCUUAGGUGCCUCACUUCGCUUCAAUGUCUAGAAAUAGCCUCCUGCUAUCGAUUCCAUUAUCAAUUGGACAACCAUCUCAGAUAUAAGGAAAAGUUUCUGCCUGCCGUUGAAGUUUCACAUCAAAGGCUGUUUGUUCAAUCUUCUGUUCGUUGUUCUUAAACUCCAGUCAAUUCAUGGAAUCACAAGGAAGAGCAUGAAUGGAAGAGGAACUCCAAACUCAGCUCCUUUUCAUCACAUAUUGCUUUAUUCAUUUUGAUCUUUGAGUUUCUAACCACCCUGCAUUUGAUAGUUUGUUUUUUCUGAGUUGUCGAGAAGGGAAAGUUGUUGAGAUAUUUAAGUUACUCUGAGAAGGGACUUUCCAUUAGGCCUUUCUGCUCUGGAUACGUUUGGCCAACGGAAAGCAAAAGACAACAUAAUUAUUGGACUUUCUGUAUUGAGUAUUCUGAACUUCUGGACGUAAAGGGUUAGAGCAAACAGUAAAUACACUGUAAAAUGUACAAGAAAUAGAGGAGAUUCUGAGGAGAGAAUAUUAAAUGUUAAUGAGAAGAGAAAGUGAGGUUUCAAUAGUCUCUUAUUUUCUUUCCUCAAGUUGGCUAGUGAAAGAUGUGCAUGCAUUCUUUGGAAGUUGGACCUAUAGUCUACUUGUCAAUUUAGGACGGAUUCAACUAAAUUCAUUGCUUUUGACUCAAACUACA